CACAGGUCGUGGUCAGAGACCUGCCACGUUCUGAAGAUCUUCCUGUGAAUAAUCUGGAUACUGUGGACCUGGGCUGUCCUUCAGCUGCAGAUGGUGACUUUUCUGCAGUGACUGAGGCUCUGAUCCACCUUCCACAGAUGUCUCUGACUAAACUUGAUACUGAGGACAUUGCUUCUCCAGUGGUUGCUAAAGAUAUGGAUCCGUCUCCAACAGUGGCUCAGGAGCUUUCAAAAACAGAACUGGAUAUGCAGGACUUGAGAAAUCCUGAGCUGCCUUUGCAAGAGUUGUCUAGAGGUGAGCUGGGGAUUCAAGACACUGACAGUACUCUGGAGAAGACACAGGUUGUGGGCGGGGACCUGCCACCUUCUCAAGGUCUUUCUGUGAAUAAUCUGGGUGCUGCGGACCUGGGCUGUUCUCCAGUUGUUGAUGGUGCCUUUUCUGCAGUGACUGAGGCUCUGAUCCACCUUCCACAGACAACCCUGACUAAACUUGAUACUGAGGACAUGGCUUGUGCCCCAGUGGUUGCUAAAGACACGGAUCUGUCUCUAACAGUGACUCAGGAGCUUUCAAAGACAGAACUGGAUAUGCAAGACUUGAGAAAUCCUGGGUUGCUUUUGCAAGACUUGUCUAGAGGUGAGCUGGGGAUUCAGGACUCGGACAGUACUCUGGAGAAGACACAGGUCGUGGGCAGGGACCUGCUCCGUUCUCAAGGUCUUUCUGUGAAUAAUCUGGAUACUGUGGACUUGGCCCAUUCCUUAGCUGCCAGCAGUGACUUUUCUGCAGUGACUGAGGCUCUGAUCUACCUUCCACAGACAACCCAGACUAAAGAGAUUCAAGACACUGGCAGUACUCUGGAGAAGACACAGGUCAUAGGCAGGGACCUGCUGCGUUCUCAAGAUCUUCCUGUGAAUAAUCUGGAUGCUACAGACCUGGGCUGUUCUCCAGUUGCUGAUGUUGACUUUUCUGUAGUGACUUUUUUAAAAUGUGCAACAGUUAAAGGACAGGUUUUAGAGCAGACUGGUUGCCGUAUUAUAAAGCAUGGAACCACUUCAUUUGUAGAACAAAACUCUGUAGAGAUAACAGGCAGAGGGGAACAGUUUAACUGUAACAACGAGUGCCGUCCGUUCCAAGUGCACGUCUCUAGAAUUGUCUCCUCUGGACGUCUCAAAAAUGGAAAGGUAGGAGUAACUUUU
rnacentral:lncRNA from 1 species